UAUGAAACCUAUUUGGGCGAGAGUAGUACUAGGAUGGAUGACCUCCUGGGAAGUCCUCGUGAAAGGGUUUCAUAU
rnacentral:rRNA from 1 species